rnacentral:rRNA from 1 species
CAGCAGCCGCGGGAAUACGUAGGGUGCAAGCGUUAAUCGGAAUUACUGGGCGUAAAGCGUGCGCAGGCGGUUAUAUAAGACAGAUGUGAAAUCCCCGGGCUCAACCUGGGAACUGCAUUUGUGACUGUAUAGCUAGAGUACGGCAGAGGGGGAUGGAAUUCCGCGUGUAGCAGUGAAAUGCGUAGAUAUGCGGAGGAACACCGAUGGCGAAGGCAAUCCCCUGGGCCUGUACUGACGCUCAUGCACGAAAGCGUGGGGAGCAAACAGGAUUAGAUACCCUUGUAGUCCCUGUCUCUUAUAC